rnacentral:rRNA from 1 species
AAACCAACAGGGAUUGCCUCAGUAACGGCGAGUGAAGCGGCAAAAGCUCAAAUUUGAAAUCUGAGGCUCUCCAGCCCCCGAGUUGUAAUUUGAAGAUGGUGUUCUGGUGCCGGCGCCCUGUCUACGUUCCUUGGAACAGGACAUCGCAGAGGGUGAGAAUCCCGUGUGGCGGGGCGGCCUGGCUCCGUGUAGAGCGCCAUCGACGAGUCGAGUUGUUUGGGAAUGCAGCUCUAAGUGGGUGGUAAAUUCCAUCUAAAGCUAAAUAUUGGCGAGAGACCGAUAGCGAACAAGUACAGUGAUGGAAAGAUGAAAAGAACUUUGAAAAGAGAGUGAAAAAGUACGUGAAAUUGUUGAAAGGGAAGGGUAUUGGAUCAGACUUGGUGCUGUGCGAAUAGCGGCUCUUCCUGGGCCGCCCCACUCGCACUCCACCGGGCCAGCAUCGGUUUGGGCGGCAAGACAAUGGCGGGGGAACGUGGCACUGCUCUCGGGCAGUGUGUUUAUAGCCCUCGCUGAUGUUGCCUGCCUAGACCGAGGAC